rnacentral:lncRNA from 1 species
CUGAAAAGUGACGUUUUUUGGCAUAUUUGAUAGAUUUUUCAUAUUUAAGCUUGAAUCGGAGCGUUUUCAAUGACUCAGUCAGUUAAAAUCUUUCACAAAAACUAAUCAAAUCAAUUGAAUAAGACAGUUAAGUGUUUAAAAAGUGUACAAAAUCUUUCGUUAGAUGAACCUGAAAUUUGAGGCCAAAAUCGGCUCUUACCGGACCUACUCCUUUG